GAUGAAGAACGCAGCGAAAUGCGAUAAGUAAUGUGAAUUGCAGAAUUCAGUGAAUCAUCGAAUCUUUGAACGCACAUUGCGCCCGCCAGUAUUCUGGCGGGCAUGCCUGUCCGAGCGUCAUUUCAACCCUCGAACCCCUCCGGGGGGUCGGCGUUGGGGAUCGGCCCUUUACGGGGCCGGCCCCGAAAUACAGUGGCGGUCUCGCCGCAGCCUCUCCUGCGCAGUAGUUUGCACACUCGCAUCGGGAGCGCGGCGCGUCCACAGCCGUUAAACACCCCAAACUUCUGAAAUGUUGACCUCGGAUCAGGUAGGAAUACCCGCUGAACUUAAGCAUAUCAAUAAACGGAGGA
rnacentral:misc_RNA from 1 species